rnacentral:rRNA from 1 species
UACGUAGGUCCCGAGCGUUGUCCGGAUUUAUUGGGCGUAAAGCGAGCGCAGGUGGUUUAUUAAGUCUGGUGUAAAAGCAGUGGCUCAACCAUUGUAUGCAUUGGAAACUGGUAGACUUGAGUGCAGGAGAGGAGAGUGGAAUUCCAUGUGUAGCGGUGAAAUGCGUAGAUAUAUGGAGGAACACCGGUGGCGAAAGCGGCUCUCUGGCCUGUAACUGACACUGAGGCUCGAAAGCGUGGGGAGCAAACAGG